rnacentral:rRNA from 1 species
GAGAGUUUGAUCCUGGCUCAGGAUGAACGCUGGCGGCGUGCCUAAUACAUGCAAGUCGAGCGAACGGACGAGAAGCUUGCUUCUCUGAUGUUAGCGGCGGACGGGUGAGUAACACGUGGAUAACCUACCUAUAAGACUGGGAUAACUUCGGGAAACCGGAGCUAAUACCGGAUGAUAUUUUGAACCGCAUGGUUCAAAAGUGAAAGACGGUCUUGCUGUCACUUAUAGAUGGAUCCGCGCUGCAUUAGCUAGUUGGUAAGGUAACGGCUUACCAAGGCAACGAUGCAUAGCCGACCUGAGAGGGUGAUCGGCCACACUGGAACUGAGACACGGUCCAGACUCCUACGGGAGGCAGCAGUAGGGAAUCUUCCGCAAUGGGCGAAAGCCUGACGGAGCAACGCCGCGUGAGUGAUGAAGGUCUUCGGAUCGUAAAACUCUGUUAUUAGGGAAGAACAUAUGUGUAAGUAACUGUGCACAUCUUGACGGUACCUAAUCAGAAAGCCACGGCUAACUACGUGCCAGCAGCCGCGGUAAUACGUAGGUGGCAAGCGUUAUCCGGAAUUAUUGGGCGUAAAGCGCGCGUAGGCGGUUUUUUAAGUCUGAUGUGAAAGCCCACGGCUCAACCGUGGAGGGUCAUUGGAAACUGGAAAACUUGAGUGCAGAAGAGGAAAGUGGAAUUCCAUGUGUAGCGGUGAAAUGCGCAGAGAUAUGGAGGAACACCAGUGGCGAAGGCGACUUUCUGGUCUGUAACUGACGCUGAUGUGCGAAAGCGUGGGGAUCAAACAGGAUUAGAUACCCUGGUAGUCCACGCCGUAAACGAUGAGUGCUAAGUGUUAGGGGGUUUCCGCCCCUUAGUGCUGCAGCUAACGCAUUAAGCACUCCGCCUGGGGAGUACGACCGCAAGGUUGAAACUCAAAGGAAUUGACGGGGACCCGCACAAGCGGUGGAGCAUGUGGUUUAAUUCGAAGCAACGCGAAGAACCUUACCAAAUCUUGACAUCCUUUGACAACUCUAGAGAUAGAGCCUUCCCCUUCGGGGGACAAAGUGACAGGUGGUGCAUGGUUGUCGUCAGCUCGUGUCGUGAGAUGUUGGGUUAAGUCCCGCAACGAGCGCAACCCUUAAGCUUAGUUGCCAUCAUUAAGUUGGGCACUCUAAGUUGACUGCCGGUGACAAACCGGAGGAAGGUGGGGAUGACGUCAAAUCAUCAUGCCCCUUAUGAUUUGGGCUACACACGUGCUACAAUGGACAAUACAAAGGGCAGCGAAACCGCGAGGUCAAGCAAAUCCCAUAAAGUUGUUCUCAGUUCGGAUUGUAGUCUGCAACUCGACUACAUGAAGCUGGAAUCGCUAGUAAUCGUAGAUCAGCAUGCUACGGUGAAUACGUUCCCGGGUCUUGUACACACCGCCCGUCACACCACGAGAGUUUGUAACACCCGAAGCCGGUGGAGUAACCUUUUAGGAGCUAGCCGUCGAAGGUGGGACAAAUGAUUGGGGUGAAGUCGUAACAAGGUAGCCGUAG